rnacentral:rRNA from 1 species
AGAGUUUGAUCAUGGCUCAGGAUGAACGCUAGCGACAGGCCUAACACAUGCAAGUCGAGGGGCAUCGGGACGUAGCAAUACGUUGCCGGCGACCGGCGGAUGGGUGAGUAACGCGUAUGCAACCUACCCGUAGCAGGGGGAUAGCCCGUUGAAAGACGGAUUAAUACCCCGUAACACAGGGGCUCCGCAUGGAGAUUAUUGUUAAAGGGUCAUUUCUUUUUCAGGGAUGGUCCGGCUGCGGAUGGGCAUGCGUUCCAUUAGGUAGUUGGUGUAGGUAACUGCUCACCAAGCCGACGAUGGAUAGGGGAACUGAGAGGUUGGUCCCCCACACUGGUACUGAGACACGGACCAGACUCCUACGGGAGGCAGCAGUGAGGAAUUUUGGUCAAUGGACGCAAGUCUGAACCAGCCAUGUCGCGUGAAGGAGGACGGCCCUAAGGGUUGUAAACUUCUUUUGCAGUGGAAUAAAGUUUGCCACGUGUUGGCGAUUUGCAAGUACGCUGCGAAUAAGGAUCGGCUAACUCCGUGCCAGCAGCCGCGGUAAUACGGAGGAUCCAGGCGUUAUCCGGAUUUAUUGGGUUUAAAGGGUGCGCAGGCGGGGAAUUAGGUCGGCGGUGAAAUUUCGGGGCUCAACCUCGACAGUGCCGUUGAAACCGUUUCUCUUGAGUGCGGAUGAGGUAGGCGGAAUUUGUGGUGUAGCGGUGAAAUGCGUAGAUAUCACAAGGAACACCGAUUGCGGAGGCAGCUUACUAAACCGUUACUGACGCUCAUGCACGAAGGCGUGGGGAUCAAACAGGAUUAGAUACCCUGGUAGUCCACGCAGUAAACGAUGAUUACUUGCUGUUUGCGAUACACAGUAAGCGGCGAAGCGAAAGCGUUAAGUAAUCCACCUGGGGAGUACGUUCGCAAGAAUGAAACUCAAAUGAAUUGACGG